GGUUACCAACUUGAAUAAACUAUAAAGAUAUUUUGAGUAAUGAGUUUGACAAACAUGGCGGUGAUUUAUCUUCUGUUCUUCAGAUAUUGAAAGCUUUGAGUUAUUGGGGGUCGCAACCAAGAAUGUAUGCAAGAUGAUGCUGCAGACAUUCAUAGUCUAACUCAGCAAUCUGGCUCUACAGUAUGCCAUCAAGUAGCAAGGGCAGUAUUAGAAAAAAGAUUUGAUUAUUUUAAAAUGCCCAUGUCUGUGACCAGCUGACAGUUAAUUUGAAACUCUAGCUGAAUUUUAAAAUGUGGUAGGUGUCAAUCAACUGUACUCAUAAUAAGGCGUGUUGCAUGCUACAAAUAGAAAGCAUUGGCAUCAUAUGUGGAAUACGCUGAAGCAACAUAGUGCCUGGAUAAUUUCCAAAGCAUUGUGGUGUUUAUGGAGUGUUACUGGUCUCCCUACUUGUUCAAUCGAAGGGAUACAUCUUAGAAUAUGGCUGAUCAACUAACUUUAGCAGCUUAUUUAGUACUACAAAGCCAUGCAGCUAAACACCGAAAGAAGAAACAUAGGUGGAAAUGAAGAUUACUUUAGAAUGACCCACGGUCUGUUUACUAACAAUAAUUAAGGCAGACAAUGGUGCCUUAUUUAUAAACUACACAGAAUGUCAACUGAGGACUUUUAACAUUUACUACUACUAAUUACACCAUAUUAUAUUCAAAAAGACCUACUAUCAAGAUAGAAUUUCACCAAGAAUGCGCCUGCAUAAUCACAUUAAGGUUUUUAGCCACCGGUGAUUCUUACAGGUCUCUAAUCUACUUAUUUGAAGUAUCAUCUUCUACAAUUUCCUUCAUUGUAUUAGAAGUAUGUGAGGCUAUUUUAAAAGUAUUGGAAGAUCAGAUUAAGGUAAUAAUUAGAGACCUAGUCGUUUAGUGUCGAUGUAGGUUGUAAACAAAAUAUUUUUCCCCUUUAUCAGCAUAGGUAUUUAAUGAGUCAACUAAUACAAACUGAGAUAGUAUUUAUUCAGUAGUAAUUCAUGGUUUGUUAUUGAAGCCUUGACCCCAUCCGGGUAUAUGCCUCCUCCAUCUCAUUCCAAACCUGUGUAUCCUUUGCUUUCUUUAGCCAGUUUGUGCUUGCCACUUUGGCAAUGUCGUCCAUCCACCUCAUUUUUGGUCUGCCCCGAUGUCUGUUCCCUGGGGGGCCUCUCCAUUUUGUGAUUUUGAGAGUCCAUCUUUGGUUGUCCAUCACAACACAACUAAAAAAAUUCUAAGUCUUGAAUAAAUAUUCUUUAUUAUAUUAUUAUUAUUAAUUCAUGGUUUGCAUUUGCCUUUAAAAGUUACAUCAAGGUAUUCCACCGAAACAGAUUGACUUUCAUCAUCCAUAUUUCUAUUGGCUCAUGUUGAGUAGCUAGUGCUAAUAAUGAUUGCUCAGGAUUGUACGUUGAUUGUCAUAUGCAGACUGAAAAUUAGUAUUUAAAUCAAUAUCUGGUGUCAAUGAUAUUGAUGCCUCAUGUGUAACCUGUUGAUUGUCGUUUACUCCCAAGGCUGCUUUAUAUAAUACAUUACUGGUACUGUAUUUAAAGACCCUUUUUUUUUCUAUUUUCUUGUUUUAUCUCCAUUUACACCAUAUUGAGUCGUUAAUAUGCUAUGCUAGGUGGCGAUAUUUGUUAAUGUGCAGGCAGUGCUAGGCUGCAGAUCUGCUUCAAUGUUUUGGGAUAAAUUUCCUUGUAAACUCGUGAAUGAUGUAGCUGUAUCAAUCAAUAUUGGUGUCAUUCUGAAACAAAAUUGGUAAUUUUUUAAGGUACCAAAGGAUAAGAAGAAUGUUAAACAGUAGCCCAAAAUUUCGAAAUAAAGUGGAAUUUUCCUCACUAUAGGAACGACGUCACCGCUACUUGACCAAAAUACUCUGGACAGGCAACAUGUUAAUUAAUUAAAAACAUUGAAAAAUAAAUUCACUUAAAGUAGUAGUUAUAUUACUCCUGACUUAUUACAUUUGGUACAAAUAAACUUGUCUGUGUUGUCUGCAGUUCAGCUAACACAUUCUUCUUGAAUGUAUAAAUAUGAAUUGCACAUAAAUACAGGCCUCAUGUCAGUCACUCUGUCCUCACUGCAAGCAAAAAAAAAAUUUUUAGCACGAGCCUCACUUGGUUUUCCUUUACCACUUGGACGCUUCGGAAGAAUCUUUUUAAAUGUCCCAAUUUUAUACCGCCUCGUCCCUUGGUAGGUUCUGCAGAUUUCUGGGGAUUGGAAUGUCUUUGAAUGGCCCCGCCUUAUUUUCCUUGUAAGUGAAAUUAGAUUUGGUCAAUUCUUGAGAAAGGCUAUUUAUAGCUUUGACUCUAGUUGUAGUUUUUGGUCUUGAUAUUGUUUCUGGAGUCUUUAACAUAUCAUUGAAAUAUUUAUUGGAUUCAUUACGCAGUACAGAGACAGUUUGAAGCGGUUGUGAUCCUAAAAUUUCUUUGUUGUAUUUGUUUUGUUGUAACUGAGCUACUAGUAUGUCAUCUUCGCUAUCAAUGCCGCCAGAACUGUUUCAAUCAGAAGCAUUUAAGUAAAUGAGCUGAGACUGUUUAGUGGAAAUAGAAAUAACAUCUUUUUAACAUUUUAAAUCAAUGGAUUGAUUAUUUUCGGGAUGCAUUUCAAUUUUCAACUUCAAACGCCGGUUUUCGGAAACUAUUUUUUAUUUCCUUAACCAAUGAAAGACAAAUUAAUUUAUCUUCUUCUUUCUUUUCUGUUACAUAUUUAUUAAGAGCAUCUAUUCUUCUUUCUAAAAUAUUAGCAAAAUGCUUAUCGGCUGGGUUCAGUUUGUAUAUCUUUCUGGGUAAACACUGUACGACCAAUCCAUGAAGCAGAUAAUGUUCGAACUAAAUUAACGAAUUACUUUGUAGGUGAAGGUAAGGUAGAUUGGCAAGAAAAAUAUAUAUUACUCUUAAAUAAAAUUAUACAUACGAUUGUAACUUACCCUAGACGAUAUGGCCUUAUUGUUAAAGCUAUCAGUUACAUCAGCGCUAUCAAUAACACCGAACAUCGAAUUAUCAGCUCAAACACGGUCCAAAAUAAACAGAACCAAACACAAACGAGCAUAACGCGCUUCGUGAUCAUUUGUUUUCUGUGUUUCUCCAAAAGAAAACCUCGUUAUAACGUUAAGAUACGUGCGUUUAUUAUUUAAAUAAAUCUGAGCAGGAAUCUUGUCUGGGAGGUGACGGCGUCCACGUUGGUGGUGGUGGUGGGGUCGGAGGCCAUGAUUGUAAAGGCAUUGGUGUUGAGGGUGUAGCAGUGGUAUAUCCAGAAUAAGUGGGUGCAGAAUAUUCGUAUUGAUAUUGUUUGCGAUUUGUUUGUAGUGGCAAUGAUUGAUUCUGUGCUUUUUAAAUGAAAUUGAGCAAUAAUUAAAUUUUUGUUGAUGCCCUCGGGUACUUUUUUUAGCUUUGUGUAGCAUCUAUCGCCAGACCCGAUACACAUUGGUCUCGAAGAUUAUCUUCUAACGUCGAGCACGAUAAACACUUGCCAAAAUUAGAUGUUGAUGUAUUGUUGUUUAAGGGCCUGCAAAUUAGGCCUGUGGCGGUCGGUCAUUUUUCGCGACCCGGGUCAAUCCUGUACGAUGACACUCGUGACCGAGUCAAAAGAUUCGAUCGGUCACCGUUCAUUGAUGAUUGAAUACAAAACAAAAGGCGGCGACCGGCGUAGAUCACAUUAUAUGACCAUCGUACAACAAUAUCGUAUUUUACAGGAAUUAAGCUGGGUACAGAUUUCUGGUUAAAAAAACUUAAAAAAUACGUUUAAUUAAAAUAC